GAUGAACGCUGGCGGCGUGCCUAAUACAUGCAAGUCGAGCGAACGGACGAGAAGCUUGCUUCUCUGAUGUUAGCGGCGGACGGGUGAGUAACACGUGGAUAACCUACCUAUAAGACUGGGAUAACUUCGGGAAACCGGAGCUAAUACCGGAUAAUAUUUUGAACCGCAUGGUUCAAAAGUGAAAGACGGUCUUGCUGUCACUUAUAGAUGGAUCCGCGCUGCAUUAGCUAGUUGGUAAGGUAACGGCUUACCAAGGCAACGAUGCAUAGCCGACCUGAGAGGGUGAUCGGCCACGCUGGAACUGAGACACGGGCCAGACUCCUACGGGAGGCAGCAGUAGGGAAUCUUCCGCAAUGGGCGAAAGCCUGAAGGAGCAAAGACGCGUGAGUGAUGAAGGUCUUCGGAUCGUAAAACUCUGUUAUUAGGGAAGAAAAUAUGUGUAAGUAACUGUGCACAUCUUGACGGUACCUAAUCAGAAAGCCACGGCUAACUACGUG
rnacentral:rRNA from 1 species